rnacentral:lncRNA from 10 species
GUCCCUUCGAAGCAUACUCUGCUGGUUGGCUAAAUUGCACUGGGAAAAAAUAGCAGCAGCCCUAUUGCUAUGUCACUUGCCUGCAGAGCAAAAGUUGAUUCAGGAACAGUAAUUUGACUUUGUCUAUAUUAAAAAUCAUAAAUAGUCAACAAAUGCAAAAAAUGCAAAGAAUUUGUAGGUAUGAUUAGUGCAUUAUAGGUGUUUUCAAAUUUCUCCUAUGAUAAAUUAAAAAUGUAAUGUUGGGCAUUAAUUUCCUAAACCCAGUGCUCAGCAAUUUUCUCAAAUUGUUUACAGUUUUUCCAAGAGACUUCAGAACCAUUCCCUGGAGUGAAUUAUUUCCAAUGGUGAAGAGUAAUGGAUGGAUGGCAUGAGAUUCUCAAAAAAAUCUUGCUCCUAUUUCAGAAGUGUCACUCCAGCCCCUUGAAGGUCCAGGAAACCUGGCUGAGUAGUGUGGUCUAUGGAGGUGCAUGGGCUUCAGAAUCAGGCCAACGUUGAUCCUGAGUCCCAGCCAGCUGCUUAGUAGCUGUGGGAUAGUUACACAAGACACAUCUACAAGAAAAGUCAUGAUAAAAUUGAUUGCAAAAACAGCAAUUUGAAAAAUUUCUUAUUGUAUUCAUGUCCUUGGAAAUGGCUUUUAUAGUCGUUCCUAUCAAGAGACAGAUUCUGUUUCCCAAACCUUGAACUUCUCUUGACUUAUCUGCACUGGCACAGGGUGCCAGUUUGGGGCCCAGGUUUAAAGGUCCUAAAUGCUUCUGUUAUCUUUUUCAGAAUUCUUCCAUCUCUAUGACAACAAGCCCAUUUUAGCUUUCUGGAGAAUAGCAUCUGAGAAAAGCCAAAGUGCCUCAGUUUACAGACAGCUCACUCACAGAAGCAGAGCCACCUAAUUCACCAGCAUCUAACCACUCACACCUGAAGGAGCCAAACUGAGCCCAGAAGAAUGGCCCGGCUGAGCCCAGCCUAAAUUUCUAACCAGCUCAAUCCUGAGCUAGUAUGUUUCGGGAUUGUUAUGCAGUUAUAAGUUAGUAAUAUAUACACCCAUUAAAGACAGGAUCUCAGGACAGAUUGAUCACAAAUAACCUGCAAAUGCUUGCCACCCUGUAAGUAUUGAUUUUCUUUUUUCCUUUAUUUAAAGUUAGAUUUGUUGUAAGAUGAUAUUGAGUUACACAGAAGUUAGGCAGGAGAAUAGGGUUUGGAGGCAGGGAACUUAAGGCCAAUUCGUGCUGACUUCCUACAAGAAAAAACACCAAGGUCUGGGAGCAGGGAACCUAAAGCCAGUUAACGUGAACUUCCUACAUCUAAACCAAAAGGAAAGACCUCAUCUACACCCGAGUAGCAAAGGAUCGAAGGCGACUGUCGCUACAACCCUCCCCCUUGUACCAGUUCUCUGAUAGAAAAGGACAGUGCCUUGGAGUGGCCGUGGGCCAAGCACAGGCCAUGCCUUCAUCUGCAUAGGGUACCAAUUCGCCUCAACCUUUGAUUAGCCAAGGACCAAAUCCUUCAUUCAGAUAAGGGGUAGCUGAUAGGAACCUCAAAAGGAGUACUUAAAACCCAGAAAACAUUGUAAC